UACAGGAGGGGCAAGCGUUGUUCGGAAUUACUGGGCGUAAAGGGCCAGUAGGCGGCCAACUAAGUCCGACGUGAAAUCCCCAAGCUUAACUUGGGAACUGCGUCGGAUACUGGAUGGCUUGAAUUCGGGAGAGGGAUGCAGAAUUCCAGGUGUAGCGGUGAAAUGCGUAGAUAUCUGGAGGAACACCGGUGGCGAAGGCGGCAUCCUGGACCAAUUCUGACGCUGAGUGAGCGAAAGCCAGGGGAGCAAACGGG
rnacentral:rRNA from 1 species